rnacentral:tRNA from 1 species
AGAAAAUUAGUUAAAAAAUAACAUUAAUUUGUCAAAUUAAAAUUACCUUAGUAUUUUCUG